UACGUAGGGACCAAGCGUUGUUCGGAUUUACUGGGCGUAAAGGGCGCGUAGGCGGCCCUACAAGUCACUUGUGAAAUCUCCGGGCUUAACUCGGAAACUGCCGUUGAUACUAUCUGUCUUGAAUAUCGUGGAGGUUAGCGGAAUAUGUCAUGUAGCGGUGAAAUGCUUAGAUAUGACAUAGAACACCCAUUGCGAAGGCAGCUAACUACACGAUCAUUGACACUGAGGCACGAAAGCGUGGGGAGCAAACAGG
rnacentral:rRNA from 1 species